CUGCCCUCUCUCAGCGGCUGCCCCCUGGGACUGGGGGACUCCGGCGGGGCUGAGAGGACUGGGUGCCGCCAUUUUGUGACAGAGUGAUGUUUGCUGAGAUGAGUCAAGAAGACUGACGAACGUGGCCUCCCUCUCAACUCAGAGACUUCACAUCAGUACCCUCAGCACAGUAAUCUCAAAGCUUUUAUUAAGCUGAUGGAUCUUCACAGCAGCGUAUCUUUGUUCAUAAAGGUCAAAAGCCUAGGAUUCAAGUCACAAGAGUUAGGAC